GAUGAACGCUAGCGACAGGCUUAACACAUGCAAGUCGAGGGGCAGCACAGGUAGCAAUACCGGGUGGCGACCGGCGCACGGGUGAGUAACGCGUAUGCAACUUGCCUAACAGAGGGGGGUAACCCGGCGAAAGUCGGACUAAUACCGCAUGAAGCAGGGGCCCCGCAUGGGGAUAUUUGCUAAAGAUUCAUCGCUGAUAGAUAGGCAUGCGUUCCAUUAGGCAGUUGGCGGGGUAACGGCCCACCAAACCGACGAUGGAUAGGGGUUCUGAGAGGAAGGUCCCCCACAUUGGUACUGAGACACGGACCAAACUCCUACGGGAGGCAGCAGUGAGGAAUAUUGGUCAAUGGGCGAGAGCCUGAACCAGCCAAGUCGCGUGAGGGACGAAGGCCCUAUGGGUCGUAAACCUCUUUUAUAAGGGAAUAAAGGGCGGGACGUGUCCCGUUUUGCAUGUACCUUAUGAAUAAGGAUCGGCUAACUCCGUGCCAGCCGCCGCGGUAAUAC
rnacentral:rRNA from 1 species